rnacentral:rRNA from 1 species
AGAUAGCUUAACCUUCGGGAGGGCGUUUACCACGGUGUGGUUCAUGACUGGGGUGAAGUCGUAACAAGGUAGCCCUAGGGGAACCUGGGGCUGGAUCACCUCCUUA